rnacentral:rRNA from 1 species
ACAAUGGAGAGUUUGAUCCUUGCUCAGGAUGAAGGCUAGCGGCAGGCUUAACACAUGCAAGUCGAGGGGCAGCGUGAUGAAGUAGCAAUACGGAUUUGACGGCGACCGGCGCACGGGUGCGUAACGCGUAUGUAACCUACCUUUAACAGGGGGAUAACACUGAGAAAUUGGUACUAAUACCCCAUAAUACCAUAGGAGGCAUCUCUUGUGGUUGAAAGUUCCGGCGGUUAAAGAUGGACAUGCGUUGUAUUAGCUAGAUGGUGAGGUAACGGCUCACCAUGGCGACGAUACAUAGGGGGACUGAGAGGUUAACCCCCCACACUGGUACUGAGACACGGACCAAACUCCUACGGGAGGCAGCAGUGAGGAAUAUUGGUCAAUGGACGCAAGUCUGAACCAGCCAUGCCGCGUGCAGGAAGACGGCUCUAUGAGUUGUAAACUGCUUUUGUACAAGGGUAAACCCUGGGACGUGUCCCAGGCUGAAAGUACUGUACGAAUAAGGAUCGGCUAACUCCGUGCCAGCAGCCGCGGUAAUACGGAGGAUCCAAGCGUUAUCCGGAUUUAUUGGGUUUAAAGGGUGCGUAGGCGGAUUAGUAAGUUAGAGGUGAAAGCUCGGGGCUCAACUCCGGAACUGCCUCUGAUACUGCUGAUCUAGAGAGUAGAUGCGGUAGGCGGAAUGUAUGGUGUAGCGGUGAAAUGCUUAGAGAUCAUACAGAACACCGAUUGCGAAGGCAGCUCACAAAACUAUAUCUGACGUUGAGGCACGAAAGCGUGGGUAGCAAACAGGAUUAUAUACCCUGGUAGUCCACGCAGUAAACGAUGAUAGCUCGUUGUCGGCGAUACACAGUCGGUGACUUAGAGAAAUCGAUAAGCUAUCCACCUGGGGAGUACGUUCUCAAGCAUGAAACU